rnacentral:rRNA from 1 species
CCCUCACCUCUGGUGAACCGUUGACCUCCGGGUCUACAUAACAAACAUCAGUGAUAAAGAACGUCUUUAUAUUUUAACAAAAUAAAACUUUCAACAACGGAUCUCUUGGCUCUCGCAUCGAUGAAGAACGCAGCGAAAUGCGAUAAGUAAUGUGAAUUGCAGAAUUCAGUGAAUCAUCGAAUCUUUGAACGCACCUUGCGCCUUUUGGUAUUCCGAAAGGCAUGCCUGUUUGAGUGUCAUGAAAUCUCAAUCCCCCCGGGUUUUCUGAACCCGAGGUGGACUUGGACAUGGGCGCUGCCGUCUUGUACGGCUCGCCUUAAAUGAAUCAGUGGGAUCUUCAGCAUCCGUGGCAGACGUAAUAAGUUUCGUCUCGUCCCUUGCUGUGAGGACCGCUCAUAACCUGCCAUCGCGCAACCAAUUUUGACUCUGACCUCAAAUCAGGUAGGACUACCCGCUGAACUUAAGCAUAUCAAUAAGCGGAGGAAAAGAAACUAACAAGGAUUCCCCUAGUAACGGCGAGUGAACCGGGAAAAGCUCAAAUUUGAAAUCUGGCGUCCUCAGGGCGUCCGAGUUGUAAUCUAUAGAAACGUUUUCCGUGCCGGACCGUGUCCAAGUCCCUUGGA